CGGCGAACGGGUGAGUAACACGUGAGCAACCUGCCCCGAAGACUGGGAUAACACCGGGAAACCGGUGCUAAUACCGGAUACCCCACCAGGCCGCAUGACCAGGUGAGGAAAUGAAUUUCGCUUCGGGAGGGGCUCGCGGGCUAUCAGCUUGUUGGUGGGGUGAUGGCCUACCAAGGCGACGACGGGUAGCCGGCCUGAGAGGGCGACCGGCCACACUGGGACUGAGACACGGCCCAG
rnacentral:rRNA from 1 species